GACGAACGCUGGCGGCGUGCUUAACACAUGCAAGUCGAACGGAAAGGCCCUGCUUUUGUGGGGUUCUCGAGUGGCGAACGGGUGAGUAACACGUGAGUAACCUGCCCUUGACUUUGGGAUAACUUCAGGAAACUGGGGCUAAUACCGGAUAGGAGCUCCUGCUGCAUGGUGGGGGUUGGAAAGUUUCGGCGGUUGGGGAUGGACUCGCGGCUUAUCAGCUUGUUGGUGGGGUAGUGGCUUACCAAGGCUUUGACGGGUAGCCGGCCUGAGAGGGUGACCGGCCACAUUGGGACUGCGAUACGGACCAGACUCCUACGGGAGGCAGCAGUGGGGAAUAUUGCACAAUGGGCGGAAGCCUGAUGAAGAAACGCCGCGUGCGGGAUGACGGCCUUCGGGUUGUAAACCGCUUUCGCCUGUGACGAAGCGUGAGUGACGGUAAUGGGUAAAGAAGCACCGGCUAACUACGUG
rnacentral:rRNA from 1 species